rnacentral:misc_RNA from 1 species
CCUCCUUCCAUUCCCCAACAACUAACCCAUUUUUUUGCCCCUUUUUCAAAGAGUAUCCAUUUUGCCCAAAUUGCUGUUCUUUGAGUCUGAAAUUCGAUUCACUAUGGAAGAAGCAAAUGUUGUUGAAGCUAAGGAUGGAACUAUCUCAGUAGCCUCUGCAUUUGCUGGUCACCAAGAAGCUGUACGGGACAGAGACCACAAAUUCUUGACACAAGCAGUCGAAGAAGCUUACAAAGGUGUAGAAUGUGGAGAUGGAGGCCCAUUUGGUGCAGUUGUUGUUUGCAAUGAUGAAGUAGUUGUUAGCUGCCACAACAUGGUUUUGAAGCAUACUGACCCCACAGCUCAUGCAGAGGUUACGGCAGUAAGAGAGGCAUGUAAGAAGCUCAAUCGAAUUGAGCUUGCAGAUUGUGAGAUAUAUGCUUCUUGUGAGCCUUGUCCAAUGUGCUUUGGUGCUAUCCAUCUAUCACGCAUCAAGAGGUUGGUAUAUGGAGCCAAAGCUGAAGCUGCAAUUGCCAUUGGGUUUGACGAUUUCA